rnacentral:rRNA from 1 species
GAUGAACGCUGGCGGCGUGCUUAACACAUGCAAGUCGAACGGUGAACGAGGGAGCUUGCUCCCUCCGGAUCAGUGGCGAACGGGUGAGUAACACGUGAGCAAUCUGCCCUGGACUCUGGGAUAAGCGUUGGAAACGACGUCUAAUACCGGAUACGAGGCGUGGGGGCAUCCCCAACGCCUGGAAAGAACUUCGGUCCAGGAUGAGCUCGCGGCCUAUCAGCUAGUUGGUGAGGUAACGGCUCACCAAGGCGACGACGGGUAGCCGGCCUGAGAGGGUGACCGGACACACUGGGACGGGGACACGGCCCAGAUUCCUACGGGAGGCAGCAGUGGGGAAUAUUGCACAAUGGGCGCAAGCCUGAUGCAGCAACGCCGCGUGAGGGACGACGGCCUUCGGGUUGUAAACCUCUUUUAGCAGGGAAGAAGCAAAAGUGACGGUACCUGCAGAAAAAGCACCGGCUAACUACGUGCCAGCAGCCGCCGUAACAC